rnacentral:rRNA from 1 species
UAGGGAAUCUUCCGCAAUGGACGCAAGUCUGACGGAGCAACGCCGCGUGAGUGAAGAAGGAUUUCGGUUCGUAAAACUCUGUUGUUAGAGAAGAACAGCGCAUAGAGUAACUGUUAUGCGUGUGACGGUAUCUAACCAGAAAGCCACGGCUAACUACGUGCCAGCAGCCGCGGUAAUACGUAGGUGGCAAGCGUUGUCCGGAUUUAUUGGGCGUAAAGCGAGCGCAGGCGGUAAAUUAAGUCUGAUGUGAAAGCCCCCGGCUCAACCGGGGAGGGUCAUUGGAAACUGGUUGACUUGAGUGCAGAAGAGGAGAGUGGAAUUCCAUGUGUAGCGGUGAAAUGCGUAGAUAAAUGGAGGAACACCAGUGGCGAAGGCGACUCUCUGGUCUGUAACUGACGCUGAGGCUCGAAAGCGUGGGUAGCAAACAGG